CAUAUCGCAAGGUGUCAGAGGUUUGUCCGGGAUUCAAAAGGAACGGCGGAUGGGGGGUGGUGCAGCGGAACCAUGGUCCCAAAAGAAGGCUCUCGAUACAGAGUCCUCAGCGUCACGCCGAGAUGCAAGAAUCCUUGGAUCUAAAGUCCUUGGAGGAGAAAGGGAAAGGUAUUCAGCUAAGCUGUUACAAAUUAGGCUGAAUCUUCUCUUUGGCGGCCCACUGAGCUCGCGCCAGCCUUCUAGCUUUCUUCUUCUCCAAUCUUGCAACACCCUGCGUCCUUCUCCUCUGCUCAGCGUCCAUGAAUAUCGUGACAAGGGUCGUUCAGGCGGACGCGAAGCCCGAAGAUUCCUUCGCCGCAUGGGUAUGGCCUCCUUCUGCCUCAUCCACUCCCGUGGCCAGCGCGCGGCGGCGGAGGAAAGGCCGGGACCUCCGUCCGGCGAGCUCCGUGGCGGCGAGCGCGAUAAGGCCGGUGUUGUUUCGUAGUAGUGAGGCAGGCGAGGACAUCCUGCAGCUUGUCCGGGGCGAGCCACUGUCGCGCCGCUCCAUCCGGGUCCUGCCGGCGAGACACUACGCGAGCGCGAGCGGAGGCAGGCGAGGACCUACUCGACGGAGCGGCACUACACGCAAGACAUCUAGGUUGCCGGCUGAUUACUACCAGCGACCUAUAUCAGCACGGACACUGCGCAGUUCCGCCGCAUGGAGAUGUGGAAUGGAUCUGUAGCGAUGCAGGCUCUUGAUUGGGAUGUGUCUGCAAACAUUUCGUGCUUGCAGUGCGGUUCCUCUACAAAGACUGGGAUUCUGGUUUUUUUUUUUCUAUCUGAGAAUUGGUGGAACUCACUCAAGGAAGGCCCCAAACUGUCUUUACUUGUUACUGAAAUCCAAGGUGCUCCAAGAAAGAGAUAUUCUUCCUUGCCAAGGAGCAAGUACAGAGCACGUUCAAGGACAGAGGAACCCUUUUAUGAGAACCCAUUUCCUGACUGCAUUUGCUUGUCUGGGAAACAUUUAUGCGUUGCUGUAUAGGCCGAGGAAAUGCUCAUUGACUAUCGAGAUAGAGAUGGAAGAGGAAGACCCAUGAAGCCUUUGCUUUUAUUUAUGAUUAACUAGUUUUUCUGUAUUUUUUUUGCUGUAUAUAUGAUUUGACACCUUGGUGUCCCCUUUUCGGUAUAAUUGGGAGAUUCUAGUAUAUCAUGUUUCGUUAUGGCUGUGAUCCCUAUUUGGAUGGGAUUGUAAGAGUGAAUGGCGGAUUGUUAAUAAUAUAUGUGUUGCAUCAAUUUUUGUUGUUCUAAAA